UUAGAGUUUGAUCCUGGCUCAGGAUGAACGCUAGCGGCAGGCUUAACACAUGCAAGUCGAGGGGCAGCGAGAUCAGUGCUUGCACUGAUUGUCGGCGACCGGCGCACGGGUGCGUAACGCGUAUGCAACCUACCCAUUACAGGGGGAUAACACUGAGAAAUCGGUACUAAUACCCCAUAACAUCCAGGGAGGCAUCUUCGUGGGUUGAAAACUCCGGUGGUAAUGGAUGGGCAUGCGUUGUAUUAGUUAGUUGGUGGGGUAACGGCUCACCAAGACAACGAUACAUAGGGGGACUGAGAGGUUAACCCCCCACAUUGGUACUGAGACACGGACCAAACUCCUACGGGAGGCAGCAGUGAGGAAUAUUGGUCAAUGGACGCAAGUCUGAACCAGCCAUGCCGCGUGCAGGAAGACGGCUCUAUGAGUUGUAAACUGCUUUUGUACGAGGGUAAACGCAGAUACGCGUAUCUGUCUGAAAGUAUCGUACGAAUAAGGAUCGGCUAACUCCGUGCCAGCAGCCGCGGUAAUACGGAGGAUUCAAGCGUUAUCCGGAUUUAUUGGGUUUAAAGGGUGCGUAGGCGGUCGGAUAAGUUAGAGGUGAAAUCCCGGGGCUCAACUUCGGAAUUGCCUCUGAUACUGUUCGGCUAGAGAGUAGUUGCGGUAGGCGGAAUGUAUGGUGUAGCGGUGAAAUGCUUAGAGAUCAUACAGAACACCGAUUGCGAAGGCAGCUUACCAAGCUACUUCUGACGUUGAGGCACGAAAGCGUGGGGAGCAAACAGGAUUAGAUACCCUGGUAGUCCACGCAGUA
rnacentral:rRNA from 1 species